rnacentral:rRNA from 1 species
GGGAUAUUGGACAAUGGGGGGAACCCUGAUCCAGCGACGCCGCGUGAGUGAAGAAGAAUUUCGGCAUGUAAAGCACGGUCAGCAGGGAAGAAAGAAAUGACGGUACCUGACCAAGAAGCCCCGGCUAACUACGUGCCAGCAGCCGCGGUAAUACGUAGGGGGCAAGCGUUAUCCGGAAUUACUGGGUGUAAAGGGAGCGUAGACGGUUAAGUGAGUCUGGAGUGAAAGGCCGGGGCCCAACCCCGGGACUGCUCUGGACACUAUUCAACUUGAGUGCAGGAGAGGUAAGCGGAAUUCCUAGUGUAGCGGUGAAAUGCGUAGAUAUUAGGGGGAACACCAGUGGCGAAGGCGGCUUACUGGACUGUAACUGACGUUGAGGCUCGAAAGCGUGGGGAGCAAAC